UACGAAGGGGGUUAGCGUUGCUCGGAAUCACUGGGCGUAAAGGGUGCGUAGGCGGGGCUUUAAGUCAGGGGUGAAAUCCUGGAGCUCAACUCCAGAACUGCCUUUGAUACUGAGGAUCUUGAGUUCGGGAGAGGUGAGUGGAACUGCGAGUGUAGAGGUGAAAUUCGUAGAUAUUCGCAAGAACACCAGUGGCGAAGGCGGCUCACUGGCCCGAUACUGACGCUGAGGCACGAAAGCGUGGGGAGCAAACAGG
rnacentral:rRNA from 1 species